rnacentral:tRNA from 1 species
GCACCCAUGGAGCAGUAGUUAGCUCGUUCCCCUCCCAUGCCGUGGUGUAGUGGUAAGGGAAAGACCUGGGUGCAAAUCCCGGUGGGUGCA